UGAUUGACGGUGUUAAGUAGCGAUCAAU
rnacentral:sRNA from 1 species